AUGAAAUAAAUAUAACUCGGCUUAUAUAUAGACCAUAAUUAGUAUAAUAAAAUAUGAUUCUAUGACAAUCCAUCAGAGAUUUUUCUUUUGAGAGCCUUAUUAUAAGAUGCAGAAUUUAAAGAAAUUCAUAUCCAGAAACCCCGAAAUCGAAAAAUAUAUUCCCGGAUCCCGUAAGGAACAAUCCCCAAAUCUCGAGCUUAAAAACACCC
rnacentral:lncRNA from 1 species